GCGCUGGUGCUGGAACUGGUAGACAGGCGUGGUUGAGGGCCACGUGCCUCACGGCGUGGGGGUUCGAUUCCCCCCCAGCGCA
rnacentral:tRNA from 1 species